UUAAGAUUUAGAUGCACUAUUGUAAAGUGACUAUUCUACUGGAUGUCAUAAGGUGAAUGCACCAAUUUGUAAGUCGCUCUGGAUAAGAGCGUCUGCUAAAUGACUUAAAUGUAAAAUGUAAUGUAAAUGAGGGAUGUGUAUACACUGCUCAAAAAAAUUAAGGGAACACUUAAACAACACAAUGUAACUCCCAAGUCAAUCACACUUCUGUGAAAUCAAACUGUCCACUUAGGAAGCAACACUGAUUGACAAUCAAUUUCACAUGCUGUUGUGCAAAUGGAAUAGACAACAGGUGGAAAUUAUUGGCAAUUAGCAAGACGCCCCCAAUAAAGGAGUGGUUCUGCAGGUGGAGACCACAGACCACUUCUCAGUUCCUAUUCUUCCUGGCUGAUGUUUUGGUCACUUUUGAAUGCUGGCGGUGCUUUCACUCUAGUGGAAGCAUGAGACGGAGUGGCUCAGGUAGUGCAGCUCAUCCAGGAUGGCACAUCAAUGCGAGCUGUGGCAAGAAGGUUUGCUGGGUCUGUCAGCGUAGUGUCCAGAGCAUGGAGGCGCUACCAGGAGACAGGCCAGUACAUCAGGAGACGUGGAGGAGGCCGUAGGAGGGCAACAACCCAGCAGCAGGACCGCUACCUCCGCCUUUGUGCAAGGAAGAGCAGGAGGAGCACUGCCAGAGCCCUGCAAAAUGACCUCUAACAGGCCACAAAUGUGCAUGUGUCUGCUCAAAGGGUCAGAAACAGAUUCCAUGAGGGUGGUAUGAGGGCUCGACGUGGGGGUUGUGCUUUACAGCACAACACCGUGCAGGACGGUUGGCAUUUGCCAAAGAACACCAAGAUUGGCAAAUUCGCCACUGGCGCCCUGUGCUCUUCACAGAUGAAAGCAGGUUCACACUGAGCACGUGACAGACGUGACAGUCUGGAGACGCCGUGGAGAACUGUCUGCUGCCUGCAACAUCCUCCAGCAUGACCGGUUUGGCGGUGGGUCAGUCAUGGUGUGGGGUGGCAUUUCUUUGGGGGGCCGCACAGCCCUCCAUGUGCUCGCCAGAGGUAGCCUGACGCACCAUAUGCUGGUGCGGUUGGCCCGGAGUUCCUCCUAAUGCAAGACAAUGCUAGACCUCAUGUGGCUGGAGUGUGUCAGCAGUUCCUGCAAGAGGAAGGCAUUGAUGCUAUGGACUGGCCCGCCCGUUCCCCAGACCUGAAUCCAAUUGAGCACAUCUGGGACAUCAUGUCUCGCUCCAUCCACCAACGCCACGUUGCACCACAGACUGUCCAGGAGUUGGUGGAUGCUUUAGUCCAGGUCUGGGAGGAGAUCCCUCAGGAGACCAUCCGCCACCUCAUCAGGAGCAUGCCCAGGCGUUGUAGGGAGGUCAUACAGGCACGUGGAGGCCACACACACUACGGAGCCUCAUUUUGACUUGUUUUAAGGACAUCAAAGUUGGAUCAGCCUGUAGGGUGGUUUUCCACUUUGAUUUUGAGUGUGACUCCAAAUCCAGACCUCCAUGGGUUGAUAAAUUUGAUUUCCAUUGAUAAUUUGUGUGUGAUUUUGUCAGCACAUUCAACUAUGUAAAGAAACAUGUAUUUAAUAAGAAUAUUUCAUUCAUUCAGAUCUAGGAUGUGUUAUUUUAGUGUUCCCUUUAUUUUUUUGAGCAGUGUAUAUGGAGAGGUGGAGGGAUGUAUAUAGAUGGAGGGAUGUAUAUAGAUGGAGGGAUAGAGGAUGUAUAUAGAUGGAGGAAUGUAUAUAGGUGGAGGGAUGUAUAUAGGUGGAGGGAUGUAUAUAGGUGGAGGGAUGUAUAUAGGUGGAGGGAUGUAUAUAGAUGGAGGGAUGUAUAUAGAUGGAGGGAUAGAGGAUGUAUAUAGGUGGAGGGAUGUAUAUAGAUGGAGGGAUGUAUAUAGAUGGAGGGAUGUAUAUAGAUGGAGGGAUAGAGGAUGUAUAUAGAUGGAGGGAUAGAGGAUGUAUAUAGGUGGAGGGAUGUAUAUAGAUGGAGGGAUGUAUAUAGGUGGAGGGAUGUAUAUAGAUGGAGGGAUGUAUAUAGGUGGAGGGAUGUAUAUAGAUGGAGGGAUGUAUAUAGAUGGAGGGAUGUAUAUAGAUGGAGGGAUGUAUAUAGAUGGAGGGAUGUAUAUAGAUGGAGGGAUGUAUAUAGAUGGAGGGAUGUAUAUAGAUGGAGGGAUGUAUAUAGAUGGAGGGAUGUAUAUAGAUGGAGGGAUGUAUAUAGAUGGAGGGAUGUAUAUAGAUGGAGGGAUGUAUAUAGGUGGAGGGAUGUAUAUAGAUGGAGGGAUAGAGGAUGUAUAUAGAUGGAGGGAUGUAUAUAGAUGGAGGGAUGUAUAUAGAUGGAGGGAUGUAUAUAGAUGGAGGGAUGUAUAUAGAUGGAGGGAUGUAUAUAGAUGGAGGGAUGUAUAUAGGUGGAGGGAUAGAGGAUGUAUAUAGAUGGAGGGAUGUAUAUAGAUGGAGGGAUAGAGGAUGUAUAUAGGUGGAGGGAUGUAUAUAGAUGGAGGGAUAGAGGAUGUAUAUAGAUGGAGGGAUGUAUAUAGGUGGAGGGAUGUAUAUAGAUGGAGGGAUGUAUAUAGAUGGAGGGAUGUAUAUAGAUGGAGGGAUGUAUAUAGAUGGAGGGAUGUAUAUAGAUGGAGGGAUAGAGGAUGUAUAUAGAUGGAGGGAUGUAUAUAGAUGGAGGGAUGUAUAUAGAUGGAGGGAUGUAUAUAGAUGGAGGGAUGUAUAUAGAUGGAGGGAUGUAUAUAGAUGGAGGGAUGUAUAUAGAUGGAGGGAUAGAGGAUGUAUAUAGGUGGAGGGAUAGAGGAUGUAUAUAGAUGGAGGGGUGGAGGGAUGUAUAUAGAUGGAGGGGUGGAGGGAUUUAUAUAGAGAGACAUGAAGAUGAGGGAUGGAGGGACGCAGGCAGAGGUAGAGUUGUUAGAGGGAUGAGUCGGAGAG